rnacentral:lncRNA from 1 species
AACAGGAACAAUACUCAACAACGAUUGUAUAAGGAAGGUAUCAAACAACAUAACACAUCCUAUGUUAUUACAAGCAUUCCGAUUAGAUUCAUUUUCUUACAUCACACUUGCAUAUUACAUUUUACAUUACAAAUUACAUUCUUUUACAUUCAUACAUCCAAAUACAAUCAAGUUCUUUCAAUUAUUGCAUUCUUGGUUCUUUUCAUUUUUAUACCCCUAAGUAGCCGACUCGGGAUACUGCUAUCUGGUCU